rnacentral:rRNA from 1 species
GAUGAACGCUGGCGGCGUGCCUAAUACAUGCAAGUCGAGCGAACGGACGAGAAGCUUGCUUCUCUGAUGUUAGCGGCGGACGGGUGAGUAACACGUGUAUAACCUACCUAUAAGACUGGGAUAACUUCGGGAAACCGGAGCUAAUACCGGAGAAUAUUUUGAUCCGCAUGGUUCAAAAGUGAAAGACGGUGUUGCUGGCACUUAUAGAGGGAUACGGGCUGCAUUAGCUAGUUGGUAAGGUAACGGCUUACGAAGGCAACGAUGCAUAGCCGACCUGAGAGGGUGAUCGGCCACACUAGAACUGGGACGCGGUCCAGGCUCCUAAGGGAGGCAGCAGUAGGGAAUCUUCCGCAAUGGGCGGAAGCAUGACGGAGCAGCGCCGAGUGAGUGAUGAAGGUCUUCGGAUCGUAAAACUCUGUUAUGAGUGAAGAACAUAUGUGUAAGGAACUGUGCACAUCUUGACGGUACCUAAUCAGAAAGCCACGGCUAACUACGUG